AUUGAACGCUGGCGGCAGGCCUAACACAUGCAAGUCGAGCGGUAGAGAGAAGCUUGCUUCUCUUGAGAGCGGCGGACGGGUGAGUAACGCCUAGGAAUCUGCCUGGUAGUGGGGGAUAACGUUCGGAAACGGACGCUAAUACCGCAUACGUCCUACGGGAGAAAGCAGGGGACCUUCGGGCCUCGCGCUAUCAGAUGAGCCUAGGUCGGAUUAGCUAGUUGGUGGGGUAAUGGCUCACCAAGGCGACGAUCCGUAACUGGUCUGAGAGGAUGAUCAGUCACACUGGAACUGAGACACGGUCCAGACUCCUACGGGAGGCAGCAGUGGGGAAUAUUGGACAAUGGGCGAAAGCCUGAUCCAGCCAUGCCGCGUGUGUGAAGAAGGUCUUCGGAUUGUAAAGCACUUUAAGUUGGGAGGAAGGGCAGUAAAUUAAUACUUUGCUGUUUUGACGUUACCGACAGAAUAAGCACCGGCUAACUCUGUGCCAGCCGCCGCAGUAA
rnacentral:rRNA from 1 species